rnacentral:rRNA from 1 species
CCUACGGGAGGCAGCAGUGGGGAAUAUUGGGCAAUGGGCGCAAGCCUGACCCAGCAACGCCGCGUGAAGGAAGAAGGCUCUCGGGUUGUAAACUUCUUUUAAGGGGGAAGAGCAGAAGACGGUACCCCUUGAAUAAGCCACGGCUAACUACGUGCCAGCAGCCGCGGUAAUACGUAGGUGGCAAGCGUUGUCCGGAUUUACUGGGUGUAAAGGGCGUGCAGCCGGAGAGACAAGUCAGAUGUGAAAUCCACGGGCUCAACCCUUGAACUGCAUUUGAAACUGUUUCCCUUGAGUGUCGGAGAGGUAAUCGGAAUUCCUUGUGGAGCGGUGAAAUGCGUAGAUAUAAGGAAGAACACCAGGGGCGAAGGCGGAUUACUGGACGAUAACUGACGGUGAGGCGCGAAAGCGUGGGGAGCAAACAGGAUUAGAUACCCUUGUAGUC